CAUGAAGCUGGAAUCGCUAGUAAUCGCGGAUCAGAAUGCCGCGGUGAAUACGUUCCCGGGUCUUGUACACACCGCCCGUCACACCAUGGGAGUCGGAAAUGCCCGAAGUCAGUGACCCAACCGAGAGGAGGGAGCUGCCGAAGGCAGGUCUGGUAACUGGGGUGAAGUCGUAACAAGGUACC
rnacentral:rRNA from 1 species